rnacentral:rRNA from 1 species
AUUGAACGCUGGCGGCAGGCUUAACACAUGCAAGUCGAACGAGUGGCGGACGGGUGAGUAAUGCUUGGGAAUCUAGCUUAUGGAGGGGGAUAACUACGGGAAAAUGUACCUAAUAUCGCGUCCCAUAGGAUCAGCUCAAGUGGGAUUAGGUAGUUGGUGAGGUAACGUCUCACCAAUCCGACGCUCUCUAGCUGGUCUGAGAGGAUGACCAGCCACACUGGGACUGAGACACGGCCCAGACUCCUACGGGAGGCAGCAGUGGGGAAUAUUGCGCAAUGGGGGCAACCUGACGCAGCCAUGCCGCGUGAAUGAAGAAGGCCUUCGGGUGGUAAAGUUCUUUCGGUAGCGAGGCGUUAACUACAGAAGAAGCACCGGCUAACUCCGUGCCAGCCGCCGCGGUAAUAC